rnacentral:rRNA from 1 species
UACGGAGGGGACUAGCGUUGUUCGGAAUUACUGGGCGUAAAGCGCACGUAGGCGGAUUUGUAAGUCAGGGGUGAAAUCCCGGGGGCUCAACCCCGGAACUGCCUUUGAUACUGGUAGUCUCGAGUCCGGAAGAGGUGAGUGGAAUUCCGAGUGUAGAGGUGAAAUUCGUAGAUAUUCGGAGGAACACCAGUGGCGAAGGCGGCUCACUGGUCCGGUACUGACGCUGAGGUGCGAAAGCGUGGGGAGCAAACAGG